AGGAACAAAUUUAUGACUGAACAAGUAUUAUACAUGAACAAAUAUAUCUGAACCGAUAGGUAAUGAAGGUGAUCAACCUUUCAUACCUGACUUAUACAUGCAAUAUAUACAGAGUACAAUUAUACAUGGCAAUCAGCAAUGAUUAACCAUAAGCUUAUUCAAAUGAAACAACUCUUAGUAGAGUUAAGUAAAUAUAAACUUGCCUGAACCGUUG
rnacentral:lncRNA from 1 species